rnacentral:lncRNA from 1 species
GUUUGCUCCUAAUGAAGGCAGAGCCUGCCAUUUUUGUUACAAUCCAGUACCAACACAGUCAUAAUUUCAUUUCCUUUUGAUUUUCAUCAGAUUUCUUUCAUGGGGGAUCAGCUGCAGGUGCCUGAGUCUAGAAAGGAGCAGGUGUGACAGAUCAGGUACAAUCUGAUGGCUGAUUGAAACCAAAAGGUUUCUUUUGAACCUUAGAUUUUUUCCACCUGUGAAGCCAAUUUUCCUGUGUUCUUUGUCUCAGUUGGUUUGUGUCUCUCCUCACCAUUCCAGGGGCUGCCCUUUGCAGAGCAGAAAAUUGGAGUUCUCAGUGAACAUCUCAAUCUUCCAACUGGAGAAGCAAGGAGUGUCCAACAGAACAGAAUUCUUUCUGGCAUCUCUACAGAAGCAGAGCCUGCCCUGUGCAUUGCAGUUUGAAAUUCCUUAACUCUCCAUAAAAUGCUCUCAAGAUUGGAUUCAUCAGCUCUUGCCAGGCCACAAAUUACUGCAGAUGAAUAAUAGAUGUUCU